rnacentral:pre_miRNA from 3 species
AACCCGUAGAUCCGAACUUGUGGUCAUAUUCCACACAAGCUUGUAUCUAUAGGUAUG